UAGAAAGGGCAAACUGCGGCACGGAGCCUGAUGGGCCUGCGCGAAGCGGGCUGGUCUGUGUUCCUGUAGUCCAGCUACUCGGCCCAGGGUCAUCCAGCCGGGUGCUUCCGGUCAGACGUGAUUUCAGGGUAGAGUCUGAAGGUUGGCUUUACAGGAUGGAGGGCACAGACAUGUAUGGGCCACGGCCUGACAGAGGAUCAGGUCGCCUCUGCGCCUGGUGACAUCGAGGGAGGGACCCAAGUGAGCAACCUCAGCGACCUGCAGAAAAAUAUGGAGCAAGUAGAUAAACAUCACUGAAGAUAUAGAAAACUUGAACAGAAGACCAAGAGGAAAAUUAAAAUGCCCUUUAUGAUAGCCUCAGAAGCACACACCAUCCCUUCUGCCCAGUUCCACUGGGUCACAGAGCCAGUCCUGAUUCAGGGUAGAAGAUGCUAUUCAA